rnacentral:rRNA from 1 species
UACGUAGGGGGCAAGCGUUGUCCGGAAUCAUUGGGCGUAAAGCGCGUGUAGGCGGUUCAGUAAGUCUGCUGUGAAAGUCCAGGGCUCAACCCUGGGAUGCCGGUGGAUACUGCUGAACUAGAGUGCGGAAGAGGCGAGUGGAAUUCCCGGUGUAGCGGUGAAAUGCGCAGAUAUCGGGAAGAACACCCGUGGCGAAGGCGGCUCUCUGGGACGGUACUGACGCUGAGACGCGAAAGCGUGGGGAGCGAACAGG